GACGAACGCUGGCGGCGUGCUUAACACAUGCAAGUCGAACGGAAAGGCCCUGCUUUUGUGGGGUGCUCGAGUGGCGAACGGGUGAGUAACACGUGAGUAACCUGCCCUUGACUUUGGGAUAACUUCAGGAAACUGGGGCUAAUACCGGAUAGGAGCUCCUGCUGCAUGCUGGGGGUUGGAAAGUUUCGGCGGUUGGGGAUGGACUCGCGGCUUAUCAGCUUGUUGGUGGGGUAGUGGCUUACCAAGGCUUUGACGGGUAGCCGGCCUGAGAGGGUGACCGGCCACAUGGGGACUGAGAUACGGCCCAGACUCCUACGGGAGGCAGCAGUGGGGAAUAUUGCACAAUGGGCGGAAACCUGAUGCAGCAACGCCGCGUGCGGGAUGACGGCCUUCGGGUUGUAAACCGCUUUCGCCUGUGACGAAGCGUGAGUGACGGUAAUGGGUAAAGAAGCACCGGCUAACUACGUG
rnacentral:rRNA from 1 species